AGCAGCCGCGGUAAUUCCAGCUCCAAUAGCGUAUAUUAAAGUUGUUGCAGUUAAAAAGCUCGUAGUUGAAUUUCGGGAUUGGCGCAUCGGUCGUGCCUCACGGGGUAUGAACUGGUGCAGUCAAUUUCUCACCUUCUGGAGAACCGCGAUGUCCUUAAUUGGGUGCCGCGGGGAACCAGGACCUUUACUUUGAAAAAUUAGAGUGUUUAAAGCAGGCAUUUUUGCUUGAAUACAUUAGCAUGGAAUAAUAAAAUAGGACGGCAUGGUUCUAUUUUGUUGGUUUCUAGGACCACCGUAAUGAUUAAUAGGGAUAGUUGGGGCAUUAGUAUUCAAUUGUCAGAGGUGAAAUUCUUGGAUUUAUUGAAGACUAACUACUGCGAAAGCAUUUGCCAAGGAUGUUUUCAUUAAUCAAGAACGAAAGUUAGGGGAUCGAAGACGAUCAGAUACCGUCGUAGUCUUAACCAUAAACUAUGCCGACUAGGAAUCAGACGAUGUUAAUUUUUUAAUGUACUUCGUUUUA
rnacentral:rRNA from 1 species